rnacentral:rRNA from 1 species
UACGUAUGUCGCAAGCGUUAUCCGGAUUUAUUGGGCGUAAAGCGCGUCUAGGCGGUUUAGUAAGUCUGAUGUGAAAAUGCGGGGCUCAACCCCGUAUUGCAUUGGAAACUGCUAAACUAGAGUACUGGAGAGGUAGGCGGAACUCCAAGUGUAGUGGUGAAAUUCGUAGAUAUUAGGAGGAAUGCCGAUGGGGAAGGCAGCCUACUGGACAGAUACUGACGCUGAGGCGCGAAAGCGUGGGUAGCAAACAGG